rnacentral:rRNA from 1 species
GACGUAGGGCGCGAGCGUUGUCCGGAUUUAUUGGGCGUAAAGAGCUCGUAGGCGGCUUGUUGCGUCAGCUGUGAAAACCCGCAGCUCAACUGUGGGCUUGCAGCUGAUACGGGCAGGCUUGAGUUCGGUAGGGGAGACUGGAAUCCCUGGUGUAGCGGUGAAAUGCGUAGAUAUCAGGAGGAACACCCGUGGCGAAGGCGGCACUCUGGCACGACCCUGACGCUGAGGCGCGAAAGCGUGGGGAGCGAACGGG